AUUGCCCUAGUAACGGCGAGUGAAGCGGCAACAGCUCAAAUUUGAAAUCUGGCUUCGGCCCGAGUUGUAAUUUGUAGAGGAUGCUUUUGGUGCGGUGCCUUCUGAGUUCCCUGGAACGGGACGCCACAGAGGGUGAGAGCCCCGUAUAGUCGGACACCAAGCCUCUGUAAAGCUCCUUCGACGAGUCGAGUAGUUUGGGAAUGCUGCUCAAAAUGGGAGGUAAAUGCCUUCUAAAGCUAAAUACUGGCCAGAGACCGAUAGCGCACAAGUAGAGUGAUCGAAAGAUGAAAAGCACUUUGAAAAGAGGGUUAAACAGCACGUGAAAUUGUUGAAAGGGAAGCGCUUGUGACCAGACUUGCGCCAGGUGGAUCAUCCAGCGUUCUCGCUGGUGCACUCUGCCUGGUUCAGGCCAGCAUCGGUUUUCUCAGUGGGAUAAAGGCUCUGGGAAUGUAGCUCCUCCGGGAGUGUUAUAGCCCGUUGCACAAUACCUCUGAGGGGACCGAGGUUCGCGCUCUGCAAGGAUGCUGGCGUAAUGGUCAUCAGCGGCCCGUCUUGAAACACGGACCAAGGAGUCAAGCAUUAGGGCGAGUGUUUGGGUGCAAAACCCGCACGCGUAAUGAAAGUGAACGUAGGUGAGAGCUUCGGCGCAUCAUCGACCGAUCCUGAUGUAUUCGGAUGGAUUUGAGUAAGAGCCUUACCGCUUGGACCCGAAAGAUGGUGAACUAUGCUUGUAUAGGGUGAAGCCAGAGGAAACUCUGGUGGAGGCUCGCAGCGGUUCUGACGUGCAAAUCGAUCGUCAAAUAUGAGCAU
rnacentral:rRNA from 1 species